AAAGAGUGUCAACAUUAUCCAUCAUCCCAUGGGAAAGAGGAAUCUAGAGGUUCUGCAUUUUUGACACAGGUGCAAGAAAAACUUUCUGGUGAAGAAUAUAAAGAGUUCGUUAGUUUUAUGAGGGCAUUGAAAUCCAAGACUAUGAAGAUAGCAUCUGUUUUGGAGUCCAUUGCAAGUUUAUUCUCUGUUCCUGGGAGGCUUUUUCUUCUUGAAGGGUUCAAGCAUUUUGUUCCAGAAAAGUAUAGAGCAUUGUAUGAGCAACUUGUUAGGGCACAUAUUGCAGCAGCUGGUAAUUGAUGCAAAAAUAAAUUUUGCGCUUGUAUUUUUUUGUUCCUAUUUAUUAAGUUAUAUCCUUCUUUACACUAUCUUUCAUCAUUUUGCUUUUAAUAAUGAUUUUUAUGUAUGUAAAAAUUAACUUUAGGUGUUA